rnacentral:rRNA from 1 species
ACGAACGCUGGCGGCAGGCCUAACACCUGCAAGUCGAGCGCGGACUUCGGUUCUAGCGGCGGACGGGUGAGUAACGCGUGGGAAUGUGCCCUUCUCUACGGAAUAGCCCUGGGAAACUGGGAGUAAUACCGUAUACGCCCUAUUGGGGAAAGAUUUAUCGGAGAAGGAUCAGCCCGCGUUGGAUUAGGUAGUUGGUGGGGUAAUGGCCUACCAAGCCGACGAUCCAUAGCUGGUUUGAGAGGAUGAUCAGCCACACUGGGACUGAGACACGGCCCAGACUCCUACGGGAGGCAGCAGUGGGGAAUCUUAGACAAUGGGGGCAACCCUGAUCUAGCCAUGCCGCGUGAGUGAUGAAGGCCUUAGGGUUGUAAAGCUCUUUCAGCUGGGAAGAUAAUGACGGUACCAGCAGAAGAAGCCCCGGCUAACUCCGUG